UACAGAGGGUGCAAGCGUUGCUCGGAUUUACUGGGCGUAAAGCGUACGCAGACGGUGAGAAAGGUCGGAUGUGAAAGCCCCGGGCUCAACCCGGGAACUGCAUCCGAAACCAUCUCGCUCGAGUGUGGGAGAGGGAAGCGGAAUUCCUGGUGUAGAGGUGAAAUUCGUAGAUAUCAGGAGGAACACCGGCGGCGAAGGCGGCUUCCUGGCCCAUUACUGACGUUCAGGUACGAAAGCGUGGGUAGCAAAC
rnacentral:rRNA from 1 species